UUAGGAUUUAGGUUUAUUUUUUUUUUACAUGCGGGGUUUUAUUAGUUUAAAAAACUUAUUUAGCAGUUUUUAGUUUUAAGUAUUAAUUUGCUUUAGACUUAGGAAUAAAUAUUAGUUUUAAUUAAAUUUGUGCCAGCAAUUGCGGUUAUACAAAUAAUGCAAUCUAAAUUUUUUGGUUAAUAAUUAAUUGAUAUAAGUUGAAGUUUUUUAUUAAAUUUAUUAGGUGGAAUUUUAUAUUUAAUACAAGUUUUUUCUUUGGUUAUGAGGUUAUUAAAAUUUUUUUUAAACUAGGAUUAGAUACCCUAUUAUUUAAAUUGUAAAUUCUUGUGCCUGAUUAAUAGUAGUUUAUGUUCUUGAAAAUUAAAGAUUUUGGCGGUAUUUUAGUCCAUUCAGAGGAACCUGUCCUGUAAUUGAUAAUCCACGAUUUAAUUUACUUGUUCUUUUAGUUUGUAUAUCGUCGUGGUUUGAAUAUUUUAUUAGAAUUUUAAUGUUCAAUAAAUAUAAAUUUAUUUUAUGUCAGAUCAAGGUGCAGCUUAUGAAUAAGAAGAGAUGGGUUACAAUAAAGUUAUUUUUGGUUUAAUUACUAAAAUGUUUUUAAUAAAUUGGAUUUGAAUGUAAUAUUUUUUAAUUUAAAAAUGUGAUUUUGGCUCUAAAAUAUGCACAUAUUGCCCGUCGCUCUCAUUUAAUAUGAGAUAAGUCGUAACAAAGUAGAUGUACUGGAAAGUGUAUCUAGAAAGAC
rnacentral:ncRNA from 1 species